rnacentral:rRNA from 1 species
GACUGCUAUCGGAUUGAUACUAAGCCAUGCGAGUCUUUGUAGUAAUACAAGGCAGACGGCUCAGUAACACGUAGUCAACCUACCCUAUGGACAAGAAUAAUCUCGGGAAACUGGGCAUAAUUCUUGAUAGAUCAUAAUGCCUGGAAUGGUUUAUGGUUAAAAUGAUUCGUCGCCAUAGGAUGGGACUGCGGCCUAUCAGCUUGUUGGUGAGGUAAUGGCCCACCAAGGCGAUUACAGGUACGGGCUCUGAGAGGAGAAGCCCGGAGAUGGGUACUGAGACACGGACCCAGGCCCUAUGGGGCGCAGCAGGCGAGAAAACUUUGCAAUGUGCGAAAGCACGACAAGGUUAAUCCGAGUGAUUUCUGCUAAAGAAAUCUUUUGCCAGUCAUAAAACCACUGGUGAAUAAGGGGUGGGCAAGUUCUGGUGUCAGCCGCCGCGGUAAAACCAGCACCUCAAGUGGUCAGGAUGAUUAUUGGGCCUAAAGCAUCCGUAGCCGGCUUUGUUAGUUUUCGGUUAAAUCCAUGUGCUCAACGCAUGGGCUGCCGAAAAUACUGCAUAGCUAGGGAGUGGGAGAGGUAGACGGUACUCAGUAGGAAGGGGUAAAAUCCUUUGAUCUAUUGAUGACCACCUGUGGCGAAGGCGGUCUACCAGAACACGUUCGACGGUGAGGGAUGAAAGCUGGGGGAGCAAACCGGAUUAGAUACCCGGGUAGUCCCAGCUGUAAACGAUGCAGACUCGAUGAUGCAUUGGCAUAAUAGCCAGUGCAGUGUCGCAGGGAAGCCGUUAAGUCUGCCGCCUGGGAAGUACGUACGCAAGUAUGAAACUUAAAGGAAUUGGCGGGGAGCACCACAAGG